GUGGGCGUAGCUCAGUUGGUAGAGCUCUGGUUUGUGGUACCGGUUGUCGCGGGUUCAAGUCCCGUCGCUCACCCCA
rnacentral:tRNA from 1 species